UAAACCCUCUCCCUCUUCUUCUCCUUCUUCCUCUCCCUCAGUCACUCAGUCCUUUCGCAGAACGCUCGUGGCCGGCGAGUUGCGCCACCGGCAGCCCAUUCUUCUUCCUUUUUCUCUGUAAAGGGAUAAAAGAUGGCAUUGGAUAAAGAUAGGCUUCGGGAAGAAGAAGAAGCAUCCUUUGUUCGUUUUUGCAAAAUUAUUCUGGGCUGGGACUAUUUUGGUCUUCUCACAGAAGCUGCUCAGAAACAGAAAAAAGAGCGUGGCAAGGGAGGUGGUUCGGGUUUAAGACAAGUAAAGAAUACGUACAAAGAUGUUGAUGAUUAUCUUGCAACUUUCGAGCCCCUUUUAUUUGAAGAAGUUAAAGCUCAGAUUAUUCAAAAGAAGGAUGACGAAGAAGUGACGGAAUGGGUUCUGAGACUUGUAGUGGAAUGCAAUGAGUCAGAGGGAUUUCUUUUACCUUCAGUUACUUAUGGAGAUGAUGAAGGCGAGAAAAUAGUACAAAACGAUCUUUUGCUGCUUUCAGAAGAUCAGUUUAAAGAGGGUGGUGGAAAAUUCCCCCAGGUCUAUGCAUUUGCCUUGGUUGAGCAACGCCAACAUAACCUUCUUAGACUUAGAAUGUUUUUAGCUGGGGAGGUCAUGAAUUUAAAUACAGAUGUUAUUGAAUCUCGUACAAGACUGUUGAAGAUGCACGGUUUGAUUACUUCUCCUGGAUUGCUGCAUGAGAAACGCUUGUUUAGUCUAAAGAUAUGCAGCCUAUCAACGAUCUCUCGUGAAUACUUUGCUUUGCGGUCAAUUGGCUCUCUUCCUUUCAAGGAUUUAAUACUAGCAGCAGCUGAUAAAAGUUCCGGUUCUGAAGACCAGGCAUGGAAAGUUUCCCAACCUCUGUCUGAACAUUUUCAAGGAAGUCUUAAUAAGUCACAAAUGGAAGCAAUAGAUGCUGGUCUAUUGCGCAAAGCCUUUGUCUUGAUACAGGGUCCUCCUGGAACCGGGAAGACACAAACUAUCCUCGCUCUUCUUAGUGCAAUUUUGCAUGCAACUCCAACAAGAGUGCACACCAUGGCUGGGUUGCAUGAAACUAAACGCGGGUCAGAACUACCAAUUCAAGAAAAGUACAAUCAUUGGGCACGAGCUUCUCCAUGGUGGACUGGUAACAAUCCAAGAGAUAAGAACAUGCCUAAAGAUGGCGAUGAUGGUUUUUUCCCUACCAGUGGAAAUGAUUUUAAACCAGAAGUCAUUGCUUCCAGUCGCAAAUAUCAUGUACGUGUGUUGGUAUGUGCCCCAUCAAACUCUGCUUUAGAUGAAAUAGUGUUGCGCCUUCUCAAGACAGGUGUUCAUGAUGAAAAUGUCCGUUCAUAUAAUCCUAAAAUUGUGCGGAUUGGUCUUAAAGCUCAUCAUUCUGUCCAGUCAGUCUGCAUGGAUAACCUUGUGAAACAAAAACAAGGCGAAUCAGCUUCUGAUAAACAGAAACAUAGAACUGCAGGAGGGGAUAUAGACAGCAUCCGUGCUGCUAUUCUAGAGGAAUCUGUAAUUGUCUUUUCCACCCUCAGCUUCAGUGGUUCGGCACUUUUUAGUAAAUUGAACCAUGGUUUCGAUGUUGUUAUUAUAGAUGAAGCUGCCCAAGCUGUCGAACCAGCAACUCUUGUGCCAUUGGUCAAUGGAUGCAAACAAGUAUUUCUGGUUGGUGAUCCAGUUCAACUCCCAGCCACUGUAAUUUCUCCCACUGCUGGGAAAUUUGGCUAUGGCACGAGUUUGUUUGAAAGGUUUCAAAGAGCUGGUUAUCCAGUAAAUAUGCUGAAGAUGCAGUAUCGUAUGCAUCCAGAGAUAAGGAGCUUUCCUUCAAGUGAAUUUUAUGCCGAGGCACUGCAGGAUGCAGAUGAUCUUGAGAGAAGGACAACACGUGAUUGGCAUCAGUAUCACUGCUUUGGUCCAUUUUGCUUCUUUGAUGUACAUGAGGGGAAAGAAUCUCAGCCUUCUGGAAGUGGGUCCUGGGUGAAUGUUGAUGAAGUUGAAUUUGUGCUACUCCUGUAUCAUAAACUGGUGACCAUGUAUCCAGAGCUUAGGUCGAGCUCACAGUUUGCAAUUAUAUCACCCUAUAGACACCAAGUCAAGCUUUUCCAGGAUCGAUUUCAGGAUGCUUUUGGGCAGGAGUCCAAAACAUUUGUGGAUAUUCAAACUGUUGAUGGUUUCCAGGGUCGAGAAAAGGAUGUCGCAAUAUUCUCAUGUGUUAGGUCAAAUGAUGAUAGAAGGAUUGGGUUUGUAUCUGAUGCCCGGCGAAUGAAUGUUGGUAUCACUCGCGCUAAGUCUUCUGUCCUGGUCGUAGGGUCAGCAUCAACUUUGAGGAAUGAUGAGCAUUGGAACAACCUUGUGGAAAGUGCCGAGAAGAGAAAUGUUCUAUUCAAGGUCUCGAAGCCCUACUCUUCAUUUUUCAGUGACUCAAAUCUCAACUCCAUGAAGGUGGAGAGAUCACUACCAGAUGGACUUGACACAGAGGACAUGGAGAUUAAUGAGCUCUUGGAUGUACAUCGGGGACAUGCUGAUGAAGAACAAGCAGAGGACAAUGACUUAGAAGAUGGUGAAAUGGAUGGAGGUGGCUAUGACGAGGACUGAUGUAAACUGGCUUCUCAUGUUGAUGGAUCCACUCUAUAUGCUUUUAGUUUUAGCCAAUUGAGAUUCCUGAGAUCCUCUAAAUGGAGGGUGCUGUAAAAAGAAACAGAAGGAUGCUGAUGAGUGCUUCAAUUGAGACGGCGAAUAGCGGUGAAGAUAAUGUGGCAACCGUGCAGAAAAUCAAUCCACACCCGAAUAAAAAGCAAAAGAAGAAGAUGAUAACAUCGUGUCUCACCUCUAAGGGAGUUCAACGAGACCGUUUUGGAGCUCCUUUGUUUCGAUGCAUCUGCACUUGCUUUGGAAGAUUGAUUUAUUUAGGGUUUUCAACUUUCUUAUUUUAACUCAUUAACAUAUUAUUAUAUAAUAUAAUGAAUUCCUAUAUUUGGUUUUGUGAUUUUCAAAUUUAUGAAAAAGAAUAGACGAUUACAUUUAUAA